AUUGAACGCUGGCGGCAUGCUUUACACAUGCAAGUCGAACGGCAGCGCGGGCUUCGGCCUGGCGGCGAGUGGCGAACGGGUGAGUAAUACAUCGGAACGUGCCCAGUAGUGGGGGGUAGCUCGGCGAAAGCCGGAUUAAUACCGCAUACGACCUGAGGGUGAAAGCGGGGGAUCUUCGGACCUCGCGCUAUUGGAGCGGCCGAUGGCAGAUUAGCUAGUUGGUGGGGUAAAGGCCUACCAAGGCGACGAUCUGUAGCUGGUCUGAGAGGACGACCAGCCACACUGGGACUGAGACACGGCCCAGACUCCUACGGGAGGCAGCAGUGGGGAAUGUUGGACAAUGGGCGAAAGCCUGAUCCAGCAAUGCCGCGUGUGUGAUGAAGGCCUUCGGGUUGUAAAGCACUUUUGGCGGGAACGAAAAGGACUGUGCCAAUACCACGGUUGGAUGACGGUACCCGCAGAAUAAGCACCGGCUAACUACGUG
rnacentral:rRNA from 1 species